rnacentral:lncRNA from 1 species
AUGGCUAUCAUGUCUCCUCUCAGCCUUCUCUUCUGCAGGCUAAACAAGCCCUAUGAGGAGUGGCUUAAAGAACUGGGCAUGUUUAGCCUGCAGAAGAGAAGGCUGAGAGGAGACAUUAUGUAUAAAUACGUGAGGGGUAGUCAUAGGGAGGAGGGAGCAAGCUUGUUUUCUGCUGCCCUGUAGACUAGGACGCAAUGGAACAAUGGCUUCAAACUACAAGAAAGGAGAUUCCACCUGAACAUUAGGAAGAACUUCCUCACUGUGACAGCUGUUCAGCAGUGGAACUCUCUGACCCGGACUGUGGUGGAGGCUCCUUCUUUGGAGGCUUUUAAGCAGAGGCUGGAUGGCCAUCUGUUGGGGUGCUUUGAAUGUGAUUUCCUGCUUCUUGGCAGAAUGGGGUUGGACUGGAUGGCCCAUGAGGUCUCUUUUGAAACAACAUUUUUUUAAACGCUAACAGAACGAUGGCCACGCCUCUGCCUCCCUCCCUCUCCCGCUCUGAUUGGCUUAGCGCAAGGCUUCUGGGAAAUGGAGUUUUAUCCAGGCCAUGUCUGCUGCUUGCUUCAUUUCCACUUAAAUAAAUGGAGAAAAUUCAGAGGCUUCGUUCUCCUGCUUUUUGAAAGCUAUUGGGAUAUAAUUUGCCUCAAUCCAAGUAAAAAUUCACCACUCUUUGACUAUCAAGUUUCAUAAUGUUUGACGCAUCCACUGAUUUUUGGGGCAUUUUGAAACAACAUUUUUUUAAAACGCUAGCAGAACGAUGGCCACGCCUCUCCCUCCCUCUUCCUUCCACUCUGAUUGGUUGAGAGGCAUGCCAACAUGGCUUCUCCUCUCAGAGGGGCUACAGCUACAUCUGAAGACAUCAGAAACAGAUGAAAAAAAGUUGCUUUUUAAUUCAAAUUCAUAAUAUUAGGAAGGCAAUGAGCAGAUGUUUCAAAAAUCACUUCAAAAGUGCUUUCGAACAGAAUUUGAAACGAAUUUAACGGGCUAACGAAAAAUUUGCUCAACCCUACUAGUAACUAUGCACUUUUGACUUGACCCCCCCUCCCCCAUCUUAUCAAUCGGUGGGAAAGUUGUUUUAUGGCCUUUUUAUCCUGCGCUUAUAGUUUUAUUUGUACAAUUGUAUUUGAAUUUUUUUUACUUGAUUGUCAUGUUGCUCUUGUUUUUAUGUUUUAACUUGUUUAUACCUUGUUCUUCUUUUGGGCUUGGUCCCAUGUUAGCCACCCCAAGUCCCUUUGGGGAGAUGGUGGCAGGAUAUAAAAAUAAAGUAUUAUUAUUAUUAUUAUUAUUAUUAUUAUUAUUAUUAUUAUAGAAAUAAUUUCUAAAUAUAUGUAUCA